UACAGGGGGUGCAAACGUUGCUCGGAAUCAUUGGGCGUAAAGCGCACGUAGGCGGUUCGUUAUGUCGGAUGUGAAAGCCCUUGGCUUAACCGAGGAAGUGCAUCCGAAACUGGCGAGCUAGAGUACUAAAGAGGAUCGCGGAAUUCCCGGUGUAGAGGUGAAAUGCGCAGAUAUCAGGAGGAACACCGGUGGCGAAGGCGGGUCUCUGGGCCAUUACUGACGCUGAGGAGCGAAAGCGUGGGGAGCGAACAGG
rnacentral:rRNA from 1 species